rnacentral:rRNA from 1 species
CCCGGUCUGAACUCAGAUCAAGUAGGACUUUAAAAGUUGAGCAAACUUCUCCCUUAUAACUUCUUCAUCCAUAAAAGAAUCUCUAGAUCCAACAUCGAGGUCGCAAACUAUUUUAUCUAUAUGAACUAUCCAAAAUAAUAACGCUGUUAUCCCUAGAGUAUUUUUAUCAAAAAAUCACUACUAAUGGAACUUUUUUAUUAAAAAAUUUUAAAGAUUAAUAAUCUUUAAAAAUCACCCCAAUCAUAACUAAAAAAUAAAUUUCUAAUAAUCUUAAUUAAAAUAUAAAUUA